GGAGGCGGGCGAGGCGGCCGCGUCCCCUCUCGAGGAGACGAGGAAAGUCCGGACACCGCAGGGCAGGGUGGUGGGUAACGCCCACCGGGAGCGAUCCCAGGGAAAGUGCCACAGAAAACACACCGCCACGCCGGGCCUCGCGCCCGGCGGGGCAAGGGUGAAAAGGCGAGGUAAGAGCUCACCGCGGGGGUGGUGACACCUCCGGCACGGCAAACCCCACCCGGUGAAAGGCCAAAUAGGAGGGCAGGAGCUGCCCGCUCCGCCAUCGACCCUCGGGUAGGCCGAUCGAGGUCGGUUCGCCGGCCCAGGAGACAAAUGACCGCCGGGCGUCCGGGAGCGCUUCUCGCGAACGGACGCAGGACAGAAUCCGGCUUACGGCCCGGCUCCCUCU
rnacentral:RNase_P_RNA from 1 species